rnacentral:rRNA from 1 species
UACGGGAAUUUCUGCUCAUGUUCUAUAAAUAGCCGCAGAAUUUAACUGUGCUAAGGUAGCAUAAUCAUUAGUUUUUUAAUUAAAAAAUAGAAUGAACGAAAUAACAAUUCAACAACUUUUUUAAUUUAAAUAAUAAAAAUUUUACUAAAUAUAAAAAUAUAUUUAUAAAUUAGAAAGACGACAAGACCCUAUCAAACUUCACUUAUGUUUAGCUGGGGCAGCUAAUUAAAAAUAAUUUUAAUUUAAAUUUUAGAAUAAAAGACCCAAUAAAAUUGAUUUUAUGAACAAGUUACUGUAGGGAUAACAGCGUUAUAAUUUUUUGAAGUUCUCAUUUAAAAAAAAGAUUGCGACCUCGAUGUUGAAUUAUUUAACUUUAAAAAGCAAAAUUUUUAUAAGUAGGCCUGUUCGGCCUUUAAAUCUUUACAUGAUCUGAGUUCAAAACCGGAGA